UGAUGAUAGUGACAAUGAUGAUGAUGAUGAUGAUGAUGAUGAUCAUCAUCAUCAUCAUCAUUGUCACUAUCAUCAUCAUCAACAUGA
rnacentral:pre_miRNA from 1 species